rnacentral:rRNA from 1 species
CCUACGGGUGGCAGCAGUCGAGAAUCAUUCACAAUGGGGGAAACCCUGAUGGUGCGACGCCGCGUGGGGGAAUGAAGGUCUUCGGAUUGUAAACCCCUGUCAUGUGGGAGCAAAUUAAAAAGAUAGUACCACAAGAGGAAGAGACGGCUAACUCUGUGCCAGCAGCCGCGGUAAUACAGAGGUCUCAAGCGUUGUUCGGAAUCACUGGGCGUAAAGCGUGCGUAGGCUGUUUCGUAAGUCGGGUGGGAAAGGGGCGGGCUCAACCCGCGGACGGCACAUGAUACUGCGAGACUAGAGUAAUGGAGGGGGAACCGGAAUUCUCGGUGUAGCAGUGAAAUGCGUAGAUAUCGGGAGGAACACUCGUGGCGAAGGCGGGUUCCUGGACAUUAACUGACGCUGAGGCACGAAGGCCAGGGGAGCGAAAGGGAUUAGAUACCCUUGUAGUC